rnacentral:rRNA from 1 species
CAGUCGCCGCGGUAAUACGAAGGGGGCUAGCGUUGCUCGGAAUGACUGGGCGUAAAGGGCGCGUAGGCGGCGGCCAAAGUCAGGCGUGAAAUUCCCGGGCUCAACCUGGGGGCUGCGUUUGAUACUUGGUUGCUUGAGUGGGGAAGAGGGUCGUGGAAUUCCCAGUGUAGAGGUGAAAUUCGUAGAUAUUGGGAAGAACACCGGUGGCGAAGGCGGCGACCUGGUCCUUUACUGACGCUGAGGCGCGAAAGCGUGGGGAGCAAACAGGAUUAGAUACCCGAGUAGUCCCUGUCUCUUAUAC